AUACAGAAUAACACCCAGUGCCCGUCACCCAUUCACUCCCACCCCCCGCCCUCCUCCCCUUCUACCACCCCUAGUUCGUUUCCCAGAGUUAGCAGUCUUUACGUUCUGUCUCCCUUUCUGAUAUUUCCCACACAUUUCUUCUCCCUUCCCUUAUAUUCCCUUUCACUAUUAUUUAUAUUCCCCAAAUGAAGCCCCUUUUUCAGCAGCUAGAAGGCUCAUCAGGGAGGCUGAGGAAGAAACAAUGACAUCGCAUUGCCCCUAGUGGCCUUCCUGAUAAUGGCAGUCAUCUCUAGCUAUUGUGCCACCCAAUUGCAUGCAGUCCCAUUGAAUUCACUUAGAAAUUUGACAAGCCAAACAAAUUCACUGGGGCUUCAUACAGUUUUGCGUUCCUGUCUUACUUUUUUCUACCUUUAUUAUGUCAGUUUCUGAAGACCAAACUUCUAGAGAGAUGUAUCGUGUCCAACCUGUCCCCAUUAUUGACAUGUUUCAGUAAAAAAAGCAAAAAGUUUGUUACGAUAGGGCAAGCAAUGUUCUUCCUUGUGUUUGUCACUGGGAAUUUAAGCUGCUAGGAGAGUGAGGCUGGAAAGGAUUGGGUAACAUAAGAGUUGUGUCUUGACAAACAGAGGGACUUGGGAGAAGCAAUUUUAGUUUUCUGAAAGUGCCAAUAAGCUCCAGUAUAAAGGCUGCCGUCGUUGUCACAUGCUCUAGUCAUAGCUCCAUCAUCUGAGUGGCCAGAGAGCAGAGAAUGGCAGCAAGCAAGCCUUGGAGCUCACCUCAUAUGUUUUUCCUUCCUUAGUAAAAACUCCAGUCUCUGGAGAAGGUAGUAGAUUAACCUAUAGAUAGUUUGGGAAAAAGAGGUAAUACAAGUCCAUUUAUGCCUUCUUGACACCCACCUCUGGAGCUAUUUGUGCUUACUCGAUUUUUUAAAAAGAUUUUAUUUAUUUGAGAGAGGGAGAUAGCAAGAGAGAGCAUGAGCAGGGGCGGGGGAAAAAGAGAAGCAGACUACUUGCUGUGCAGGGAGCCUGAGAUCAUGCCCUGAGCUGAAGGCAGAUGCUUAACUGACUGAGCCACCAGGUGCCACCUGCGUUUUCUUUCUGUGAAACAGUUGAGAAAAACUAGAUCUAUAUCAUCUAGAAAUGUCACUGACUCCUGCUCAGCAUGUUGUAUGAACAGAAGUAGAAUGAUGUUAAGUAGUUGAUCAUUUAGAGCCAGUAUCCUCAUGAGGCCCAGCCUUUAUUUUGAAGUGUUCCUGCUGCCUGGACUGAGGCGCUAAUGGAAGGACUGGUAAAUAAGUGAUGGGAAAAACCCCAGCAAUUAAAACUGUGGGAUUCCCGCAUAAAUAGACCAGUGAGUUAGCACAGAAGGUUGAGAAAUAGCCCUGGCUUUCUAUAGUGAUCUAGUAUGUAGUAAAGAUGGAAUCUCAAAUCACUGGGCAGAGAUCAAUCUUUUUUUUUAAAUUGAUUGGGAUAGUUGGACAGCUAUUUGGAGAAAAAUAAAAAUAGAUCCAUUUCUCACAUCGUAUUUAAGAAUAAACUCCAGGGCAGCCCGGGUGGCUUAGUAGUUUAGCGCCGCCUUCAGCCCGGAGCAUGAUCCUGGAGACCCCGGGAUCGAGUCCCACGUCAGGCUCCCUGCAUGGAUCCUGCUUCUCCCUCUGCCUGUGUCUCUGCCUCUCUCUCUCUCUCUCUCUCUCAUGAAUAAAUAAAUAAAAUCUUAAAAAAAAAAAAGAACAAACUCCAAAUGAAUCAAUCAGGAAUCUGUGAAAAAUGAAACUACCCAAGUACUGGAAGACAAUGUGGAUGUGAAUUCCUCUAAAAUUCAUGUUCAGGGAAAGAACUAGGACUCAAAAUCCAGAUGCAAUAAAAGAAAUGAUUAUUUUUUUUAAAAGAUUUUAUUUAUUUAUUCAUGAGAGAGAGAGAGGCAGAGACACAGGCAGAGGGAGAGGCAGGCUCCAUGCAGGGACCCUGACGUGGGACUUGAUUCCGGGACUCCAGGAUCACGCCCUGGGCUGAAGGCAGCGCUAAACCACUGAGCCACCUGGGCUGCCCGAUUUGAUUCAUUUCUACAUAAAAAUUUUAAGAACUUCUGUAUGGCAAAAACAAUAAGCAAAGAUAAAUGUCAGUUUGGAAGAAAGUAAUUGUAACAUAAAUAACACAAAAUUCUAAUAUUUCUAAUAUAUGAAGAACUUUAAAAAAAAGAGCAAAAAAAAAAAAAAAA
rnacentral:lncRNA from 1 species